ACAGCCUGAGAGGUGGGAUAAAGAAAAAGUUCAAGCACAGUGCUUUGAAGAGCGAUAGUGCUACAGUGGGGUUAUAGUCUAAGACCUCUGGAUGUGAGGAGAGCUCACCAUUACCGAUUCAGGAGUUCUGGACCAAGGCAUGUGCGUUUGGUUGGUGGAUCAAGGACUCUCACUCAGCUGCUCACAACGGAAAAGGAAACUUGAGGAAGCAUCGUCAGCGUUUGAAAAGUUUUAAGGGAUUCUGACUAUUUAAGGGACAACAUCUUGUUUAUUACAGCCAAAUUUUGUCCUUUCUGUUGUCCAAAAGUGAUGUCGGCUUACAGUGCAGACACACCAACCUGAAAGAGUUGAUGGAGGCUUUCUGUGACUGUUUGGCUCACCAGUUCACCAAGGAGAUGUUUGAGCAAGAGGCAGUAACACUACAGGGCUUGAUGUCAUACGGUGUGGAUGUAACCAAAAGGGGACAGACUGGAUUUCUGGACCAAAGCCAGGGAUGGUGAUCCUGGAAACUCAUCUCUUGGCUAAUUCCUGAGGCCUUUAAAUGCAAAUGGUGAGGGGGAGACCUUAUUGCUCUCUACAACUACCUGGAAGGAGGUUGUACAAAGGAUGGUGCUGGGCUCUUCUCCCCAGGGACAGGGGACAGGACAAGGGGGAAUGGCCUCAAGCUCCGCCAGGGGAGGGUCAGACUGGAUAUCAGGAAAAAGUUUUUCACAGCAAGGGUCAUGGGGCGCUGGCAGAGGCUGCCCAGGGAGGGGGAGAGUCACCAUCCCUGGAGGGGUUUCAAAGACAGGUAGACAAGGUGCUCAGGGACAUGGUUCAGUGACAGAAAGGGAUGGUUGGAGUCGAUCAUCUAAGAGGUCUUUUCCAACCUGGUGAUUUUGUGAUUCUGUGAUUUAUGUUGAUAUUCUUGAAAUAUCCAGACCUCAAGACCAACCCACUCGUACCGGUCUGGGCAGUUUGGUGCUUUUAUUCCAGAGCCUGAACAGCCAGGAUCCAGGAACUAAGUGUGCCCGUGCAUCCCAGAAGAUGCUGUCAGAGCAAGCUCUCUGUGUUCCAGAGGGAUCUGGCUCCUUGCAAAACACAGGGGAGGUUGUCAUCAGUGGAAGACAAGGAUCCUUUCCAGUCCUCUCCUCUGCCUCAGUGACUUCAGACCCAGGUAUGGACAUGAAGCAUUUCCUGACCUCAUGGGCUCUCUUUUGGUGGGCACCCAGAAUCAUAGAAUCACCAGGUUGGAAAAGAUCUCCUGGAUCAUCAAGUCCAACCAUUCCUAUCUGCCACUAAAUCGUGUCCUUAAGCAUCUCGUCUGCCCGUCUUUAAAGCCCCUCCAGGGAUGGGGGCUCCCCCCCUCCCUGGGCAGCCUCUGCCAGUGCCCCAUGACUGGUGCAUGGCAAACGGAGCCUGUGCUGGGAGCGAGAUCACAUCUGCCUCGAGAGGGGCCACAGCUACAAAUGCUGUCAUCUUCCACAGGUCCUGAAGGAACUGCUCAACAUGGGGGAACCUCUCUACUCACCUGCCUGUGUGUAUGGGCACCCACUUUUGGCCAUGGCCGUAGGGCAGGGUGGGAGACAGACCCUGUGCCAUGGCUCUGGUGUUCUCACAAGACUGACGCAGGGUCUGGACUGGACAUAAGUGGCUCAAUAUUUACACUGCAGCUCCUCUCUUCCCCUCUGGAAGAUCAUAGAAGAGUUUGGGUUGGAAGGGACCUUAGAUAUCAUCCAGUUCCACUCCCUGCCACGGGCAGGGACACCUCCCACUGGCUCAGGCUGCCCAAGGCCCAUCCAACCUGGCCUGGAACACCUCCAGGGAUGGGGCAGCCACCACUGCUCUGGGCAACCUGGGCCAGGGCCUCCCCACUCUCAUGGUGAAGAAAUUCCUCCUUAUGUCAGGCCUAAAUCUGCCCCUCUCCAGUUUACACCCAUUGCCCCUCAUCCUGUCCCCACAAGCCUUUAUGAAUAGUCCUUCUCCAGCUUUCCUGUAGGCCCAAGAUGGUCUUUUGCUGUUGUCUCAUUCCCUCUGGCUUCUCAGCUCUAGAAAACUGUCAAAUCCUCCCUCUUUUCAAACCCGUGUCUUGAAAUCUGUUUUCCCAGGAAUGAGAUGGGUACAUGUUGACAUCAGUUCUGAGAAUAUUUUCUUGUAGGUGGAACUAUUAUUCCUCCUUGGUCCGUAACCGUGCACAGUCAGGGGUUUGCUGAGCUAAGAAGUUGCUGAAGGAAAAAUGAGAAUUGUUCUAUGUAUUCCCCUCUAACAGAUGUGGUUGAAAAAGACUAAAGGACAGAAGAUAAGCAAUUAUAGAAAGCACUUCUGGAAGUAAUGGGAGAGCCAGGAGGCUACAGAUUCAGAUGAAAAUAUUGCUGGAAGCUUUCCCUCCUGUGGGGGUUUGGUUUUGAUUUGAAAACGCUUGUGGCACUGGUUUGUGUGAUGCCAGUCUCCUUGGAAAGGACUGCAGUGACAGAUGACACAGGUGACAUACAUUCCCUCACUCUGAUCCAAACUUAAUUCCAAAGCUUGGCAUCUCGUUUACCAACUCCGCUAAUAAAUACCCAUAAAAACCAGAACUGAGCGACCUCCAGUUUCUCCUGGCACUUCCAAGGUAGGAAUCCUCCUAUGGCAGUUUAUUUUUUAUACAACUAAUUUUCUUGACUCACAACUGAAGAUUAGCCUGUUGCUUCAUUUAUUUGGUCAUUAAUUUGGCACCGUGGGCAGAUGUUGACGUAAAGCUCUUACCCGUUUGGGGUUAGAUGGAGGCAAGCGAUCUGCACCCAAAGGUUUAACAAGGCGUCCAUCCCAAGGGAGUGUUGAUGCUUCUAAUUAAUUUAAUUAAAGGGAAAACUUUAUACUAGACUAAAAAGAUUGUUUGCUUGAUUGAGACCUAAACAUCAGUUUCCUUAAAGGGAAAUAAAGCAGA